CAGCCCUGCCCGCCUCCUGCCGCGCCGGCGGGGGCUGGGCGUGCGCGGCCGCGGCGGGCACCUGCACCCGCGCGGCGGGGCCGGGGAAAUGGAUGCGCGUCGCGCUGCUUAAAGGACGCGGGCUGAGGCGGGAAAAUGAAUCUGGAAGAAAAUUGGUGAAUCCAAUCCAGUGGACCUACAAGCACUCUGACAGGCUCAGAGAGCAGAGUCUGGACCAAAGAGCAAUUACCCCACCAAACGAUUUCAGACAGAUUCUGCUACAUGAAACCAUACUUUGGGAUGUUGCACGGAUGCAACCUCAGAAUUCAGCACUGAAAUGAGACCUACUGGUUAUUUGAGUU
rnacentral:lncRNA from 1 species